AAUUUAUGCCCUUUUCUUGUAACUUUUCAGCUUCCCACAUACACAACCCCCAUGCUGGAUCUGCUACACUCCAAAACAUGUGAGUGACAACAGGCUUGACAGCCCUUGGGGUGGUGAAAGAUCUGGCGAGAGCAAGCCUCCCCAGCAUGCUCAUCAGCCUUAAGCGAUCAUGUCUGUGAUCAUGCUACUGAAAUAGGGAGGUCCUGGAAGACCAGCAAACUGAGAGAGGACGGAGAAGUCGGAGCCAUGGCUAUGUGUCUAGCAAAAGGCAGCAACAAUAUCUUAGAGUGGAAGAGCCCAGAAGAUGGUAAUAGGCUUUACUGGCCCUGACCUGUCUCCUCUGAGGCAUUCACCCCUGAAAUGAUCUCAUUUAAGCUCAGUUGGGCUAUUUAUUGUCUUUUCAAGGAUCAAAGUGUGGCUUGCUGGUUUAAUAUUCUUUAAGAAAUGUUUAUUGCAUAAAGUAAGUAUUUUAUCAGUGUUUUCACAUCCUAAAAGAAAUCUAUUCUGACUUCCUGGGAUUCCCUCAAAGUCAACAGAAAGGCAAGGUUUCACCCUUAUUUUAUCUCUGUUUAUGAGAAAUGUGAUUAAUCAGGGAUAAGAAGGAUCAGUUUUUGGAAGAAUUAUUAGGAAUGUGCUACAAGGUCACAGAGAUUAAUCUAUUGGUUGAUAGAUUUCUCCUGGAUUUCCUCUUCACAUGAGUUGUUACCUGUGAAGUAGAUAGGAUGUUGCUUUGCCAAAAGGGCUUGUUAGAGUCUUAUAUUUUAUAAAUUGUUAUGGUUUAAUAGUUUGUAACUAGUAACAAAGCCUCCUUUCUUCUUGUAUUUCACCGGACAACAAUUCCUUCUUCUUGAGAAAUGAGAGUGAUGUGAUUGUGAAUCAAAGUGACCUGGCAGGGCCAUGUGAGCAUUCUUUCUAACAGGUUUUGCUGAACAGUUCCUUUCCUUACACACCAUCUUUCCAUAAGAAAGAGCUGCAAAGCUGAUUAUGACCUUUCUGCACUAAAAACAUAAACCCAGCUAAUGUGGUUGUGGGUUCUUUGGGAUCCUGGAGUACCUGCCUGUUUCUCAGUACUUUCUGUGCCUUUUCUUACUCUAAUUUCAUUCAUUGCAAGCAAGGUUGAACUUGUUUGCUAAUAGAAUGGGGUGUCCCUGGAGCUUUCAGCAGUUAGUCUGUUUCCUGAGAAAAAAGUGAACAGAAUUGCCUUCUCCAGUUUCCAGGGUGGCUGAUAUUGGGUCAACCCAAAGAUCAGGUUUAGUAAAGUGGAGUUUGAGCAAGUGUAGCAAGCACCCUGUCAAAACUGAAUUGAUAAUUUUUACUUUUUCCAUGCUGCAAACUCAGAAACUAUAGAGAAUAUUCCAUUGCUGUAAAAAUUCCUUCUUUACUACCCCUACCAUUAAGAAGUAUCCUCUAAGGCCUAAAAUAUUUUAUCUAGCUAUUAUGCCAAUUUAAUCUUAAAUUAACUUCUGAAUUAAAGAUGAUAUGCUUUCUUUAGCUGUACUAAUGAAUAUAUUUUCACAGUAAGGUUGAUUGAUUUAAAACAUUGUCUGCUCCAUUAACAUGUGGCAACAUAUAACAUUAAAACCAAAAGUCUUCAAUACUUGACUUUAUAAUUGAAAAAUAAAAAUGUUUGUCUUACAGGAGAAUAUUUUUGGUCAGUUAACAAAUAUUUCAGAUGUUGAGCCAAAACUCCAUCUGGAAAUAUCUCAGAAUUAAUGUCUGUGAUUUUUUUUUUAAUAUUUUUUGGCAUUUUUUUGGCAAGAACAGAAGUGAUAAUAGAAUUGAGAGUGCCACAGCCAGAUUGCACCUGGGGGAGGGGAGGAGUGAUUUGGUUUCUAUGUUGCUGCUGCUGUGAAUGCUGACAUCCCUGAAAUCUCAUGAGGUUGUUUUGAGUUUGAGGUGCAAUUAAGAUUAAAAUCUAUUUCAUCAACACAAUUUAGUCCUAAAGGUAGUCUCUAAGCCAGAACAGACACGAGGGAUGUUUCAUCCGAGUUGUGCUUUUAUGACAGGGGAGGUAG